GAUGAACGCUAGCGGGAGGCCUAACACAUGCAAGCCGAGCGGUAUUGUUUCUUCGGAAAUGAGAGAGCGGCGUACGGGUGCGGAACACGUGUGCAACCUGCCUUUAUCUGGGGGAUAGCCUUUCGAAAGGAAGAUUAAUACUCCAUAAUAUAUUGAACGGCAUCGUUUAAUAUUGAAAGCUCCGGCGGAUAGAGAUGGGCACGCGCAAGAUUAGCUAGUUGGUGAGGUAACGGCUCACCAAGGCGAUGAUCUUUAGGGGGCCUGAGAGGGUGAUCCCCCACACUAGUACUGAGACACGGACCAGACUCCUACGGGAGGCAGCAGUGAGGAAUAUUGGUCAAUGGGUGCAAGCCUGAACCAGCCAUCCCGCGUGAAGGACGACUGCCCUAUGGGUUGUAAACUUCUUUUGUAUAGGGAUAAACCUACCCUCGUGAGGGUAGCUGAAGGUACUAUACGAAUAAGCACCGGCUAACUCCGUGCCAGCAGCCGCGGUAAUACGGAGGGUGCAAGCGUUAUCCGGAUUUAUUGGGUUUAAAGGGUCCGUAGGCGGACUUAUAAGUCAGUGGUGAAAGCCUGUCGCUUAACGAUAGAACUGCCAUUGAUACUGUAAGUCUUGAGUAUAUUUGAGGUAGCUGGAAUAAGUAGUGUAGCGGUGAAAUGCAUAGAUAUUACUUAGAACACCAAUUGCGAAGGCAGGUUACCAAGAUAUAACUGACGCUGAGGGACGAAAGCGUGGGGAGCGAACAGG
rnacentral:rRNA from 1 species